rnacentral:rRNA from 1 species
GACGAACGCUGGCGGCGUGCCUAAUACAUGCAAGUUGAGCGCUGAAGGUUGGUACUUGUACCGACUGGAUGAGCAGCGAACGGGUGAGUAACGCGUGGGGAAUCUGCCUUUGAGCGGGGGACAACAUUUGGAAACGAAUGCUAAUACCGCAUAAAAACUUUAAACACAAGUUUUAAGUUUGAAAGAUGCAAUUGCAUCACUCAAAGAUGAUCCCGCGUUGUAUUAGCUAGUUGGUGAGGUAAAGGCUCACCAAGGCGAGGAUACAUAGCCGACCUGGGAGGGUGAUCGGCCACAUUGGGACUGAGACACGGCCCAAACUCAUACGGGAGGGAGCAGUAGGGAAUCUUCGGCAAUGGAAGAAAGUCUGACCGAGAAACGCCGCGUGAGUGAAGAAGGUUUUCGGAUCGUAAAACUCUGUUGGUAGAGAAGAACGUUUGUGAGAGUGGAAAGCUCAUCAAGUGACGGUACCUACUCAGAAAGGGACGGCUAACUACGUG